rnacentral:rRNA from 1 species
GAUGAACGCUGGCGGCGUGCCUAAUACAUGCAAGUCGAGCGAAUGGAUUAAGAGCUUGCUCUUAUGAAGUUAGCGGCGGACGGGUGAGUAACACGUGGGUAACCUGCCCAUAAGACUGGGAUAACUCCGGGAAACCGGGGCUAAUACCGGAUAACAUUUUGAACCGCAUGGUUCGAAAUUGAAAGGCGGCUUCGGCUGUCACUUAUGGAUGGACCCGCGUCGCAUUAGCUAGUUGGUGAGGUAACGGCUCACCAAGGCAACGAUGCGUAGCCGACCUGAGAGGGUGAUCGGCCACACUGGGACUGAGACACGGCCCAGACUCCUACGGGAGGCAGCAGGAGGGAAUCUUCCGCAUUGGACGAAAGUCUGACGGAGCAACGCCGCGUGAGUGAUGAAGGCUUUCGGGUCGUAAAACUCUGUUGUUAGGGAAGAACAAGUGCUAGUUGAAUAAGCUGGCACCUUGACGGUACCUAACCAGAAAGCCACGGCUAACUACGUGCCAGCCGCCGCGGUAA